rnacentral:rRNA from 2 species
ACCUUACCAGGUCUUGACAUCCUCUGAAAACCCUAGAGAUAGGGCUUCUCCUUCGGGAGCAGAGUGACAGGUGGUGCAUGGUUGUCGUCAGCUCGUGUCGUGAGAUGUUGGGUUAAGUCCCGCAACGAGCGCAACCCUUGAUCUUAGUUGCCAUCAUUAAGUUGGGCACUCUAAGGUGACUGCCGGUGACAAACCGGAGGAAGGUGGGGAUGACGUCAAAUCAUCAUGCCCCUUAUGACCUGGGCUACACACGUGCUACAAUGGACGGUACAAAGAGCUGCAAGACCGCGAGGUGGAGCUAAUCUCAUAAAACCGUUCUCAGUUCGGAUUGUAGGCUGCAACUCGCCUACAUGAAGCUGGAAUCGCUAGUAAUCGCGGAUCAGCAUGCCGCGGUGAAUACGUUCCCGGGC